rnacentral:rRNA from 1 species
UACGGAGGGUGCAAGCGUUAUCCGGAUUCACUGGGUUUAAAGGGAGCGUAGGUGGGCUUGUAAGUCAGUGGUGAAAUCUCCGAGCUUAACUUGGAAACUGCCAUUGAUACUACUAGUCUUGAAUACUGUGGAAGUAAGCGGAAUAUAUCAUGUAGCGGUGAAAUGCUUAGAUAUGAUAUAGAACACCGAUAGCGAAGGCAGCUUACUACGCAGUUAUUGACACUGAGGCUCGAAAGCGUGGGGAUCAAACAGGAUUAGAUACCCUGGUAGUCCACGCCCUAAACUAUGGAUACUCGACAUCAGCGAUACACAGUUGGUGUCUGAGCGAAAGCAUUAAGUAUCCCACCUGGGAAGUACGUCCGCAAGGAUGAA